rnacentral:rRNA from 1 species
GACGAACGCUGGCGGCGUGCUUAACACAUGCAAGUCGAGCGGUAAGGCCCUUUCGGGGUACGACGAGCGGCGAACGGGUGGAGUAACAACGUGGGUGGACCUCGCCCUCCAGCUCUGGGAGUAAGACCUCGGGAAACCGGGGUACCGUAAUAACCGGAUAUGACUCCAUGACGCAUGUUGUGGGGUGGGAAAGCCUUGUGCGGCUGAGGAUGGGCCCGCGGCCUAUCAGCUUGUUGGUGGGGUGAUGGCCACCAAGGCGACGACGGGUAGCCGGCCUGAGAGGGCGACCGGCCACACUGGGAC